UACAGAGGGGGCAAGCGUUGUUCGGAAUUACUGGGCGUAAAGGGCGCGUAGGCGGCCUGUUAAGUCAUGCGUGAAAUCCCCGGGCUCAACCCGGGAACUGCGUCUGAUACUGGCAGGCUUGAAUCCGGGAGAGGGAUGUGGAAUUCCAGGUGUAGCGGUGGAAAUGCGCAGAUAUCAGGAGGAACACCGGUGGCGAAGGCGGCGUUCUGGCUCGCAACUGACGCUCAGACACGACAGCAUGGGGAGCGAACAGG
rnacentral:rRNA from 1 species